rnacentral:rRNA from 1 species
GAUGAACGCUGGCGGCGUGCCUAUUACAUGCAAGUCGAGCGAACGGACGAGAAGCUUGCUUCUCUGAUGUUAGCGGCGGACGGGUGAGUAACACGUGGAUAACCUACCUAUAAGACUGGGAUAACUUCGGGAAACCGGAGCUAGUACCGGAUAAUAUUUUGAACCGCAUGGUUCAAAAGUGAAAGACGGUCUUGCUGUCACUUAUAGAUGGAUCCGCGCUGCAUUAGCUAGUUGGUAAGGUAACGGCUUACCAAGGCAACGAUGCAUAGCCGACCUGAGAGGGUGAUCGGCCACACUGGAACUGAGACACGGUCCAGACUCCUACGGGAGGCAGCAGUAGGGAAUCUUCCGCAAUGGGCGAAAGCCUGACGGAGCAACGCCGCGUGAGUGAUGAAGGUCUUCGGAUCGUAAAACUCUGUUAUUAGGGAAGAACAUAUGUGUAAGUAACUGUGCACAUCUUGACGGUACCUAAUCAGAAAGCCACGGCUAACUACGUG